rnacentral:rRNA from 1 species
UAGGGAAUCUUCCGCAAUGGACGCAAGUCUGACGGAGCAACGCCGCGUGAGUGAAGAAGGAUUUCGGUUCGUAAAACUCUGUUGUUAGAGAAGAACAGCGCAUAGAGUAACUGUUAUGCGUGUGACCGUAUCUAACCAGAAAGCCACGGCUAACUACGUGCCAGCAGCCGCGGUAAUACGUAGGUGGCAAGCGUUGUCCGGAUUUAUUGGGCGUAAAGCGAGCGCAGGCGGUCAAUUAAGUCUGAUGUGAAAGCCCCCGGCUCAACCGGGGAGGGUCAUUGGAAACUGGUUGACUUGAGUGCAGAAGAGGAGAGUGGAAUUCCAUGUGUAGCGGUGAAAUGCGUAGAUAUAUGGAGGAACACCAGUGGCGAAGGCGACUCUCUGGUCUGUAACUGACGCUGAGGCUCGAAAGCGUGGGUAGCAAACAGG